rnacentral:rRNA from 1 species
GACGAACGCUGGCGGCGUGCUUAACACAUGCAAGUCGAACGGAAAGGCCCUGCUUUUGUGGGGUGCUCGAGUGGCGAACGGGUGAGUAACACGUGAGUAACCUGCCCUUGACUUUGGGAUAACUUCAGGAAACUGGGGCUAAUACCGGAUAGGAGCUCCUGCUGCAUGGGGGGGGUUGGAAAGUUUCGGCGGUUGGGGCUGGACUCGCGGCUUAUCAGCUUGUUGGUGGGGUAGUGGCUUACCAAGGUUUUGACGGGUAGCCGGCCUGAGAGGGUGACCGGCCACAUUGGGACUGAGAUACGGCCCAGACUCCUACGGGAGGCAGCAGUGGGGAAUAUUGCACAAUGGGCGGAAGCCUGAUGCAGCAACGCCGCGUGCGGGAUGACGGCCUUCGGGUUGUAAACCGCUUUCGCCUGUGACGAAGCGUGAGUGACGGUAAUGGGUAAAGAAGCACCGGCUAACUACGUG